GUCCACAAGGGACCAUACGGGCGUCUUCCUUUGCGAGCAGAACUUCAUUAUCCUCUUCCUCGUCCUCGGCAAUCCAAACGUCAGGCGAUGGUUGGAAAACCAAAGAUUGAACAAAGUCAAUCCCAAAGAAACCCAAAAGGUAAAUAAAGGACGCUAAAAAUGAGAGAAUGGCGAUGAUCUCGGAAAAGGUGACGACAUGGAGAGGUGUGGAGGUACGGAUCUUCUCACGCCAACGGGAAAGAAGAAAAUAAACCACCGAGAAGAAGAGGGUGAAGAACAGGGCAUUCGUUAGGUGCAAGGGAAGCGGCAAUGCGUCGGAGGCUUUACCGUGAUCUUCCUCUAAAGGAAUCUUCUUCGAUGGCUUGAGAGAUUGAGCAGGUUUAGUCGAAUACAGCCGAGGAGCCUCCAUAUUGGGUGUCGACGGCGGCAGAAGCCCGGCAGUGGAGAAGAAGAAUAGAAGAGUAAUGGAAGUGAGAGAGGAUUUCAGUUAGGUUUACGAUUAUGGGGGAAGGUGGAGCUUGAGAUGCUGGAGUUUAGGGAGGGAAGGGGAGUAUUUAUAGGAUAGAGAGUAAAGUGUAGAGAGAGCGUGAGGAAAAAGGCGCGUGAAUUGAAGUGUUUGGCACUUGUUAGUGCGGAGCUUUACCAAGUGAAGAGUCAAUGGAAGAAUUUCAAGGGAUGUGUUUGGAAGCGUGCACGUGUGCAUGUGCAUGGUGGGGCAUUGCAUAAUCCUUUCAUUUGUUCUUUUCUCCUGCCAAAUUUGGAGAAAAUGCUGAUUUUAAAAAAAUAUUCAGGAAAAUAUUUUUUUUCCAAUAUUUAAAAAAAUAAGUUGAUUUUGAAAAAAAUAAUAAAGCAUAUUUUGCAGAAAUUGUUUUUUUUUUUUGCUGAAAAAGCUCGUAGGAUUAGUUUCUACUUUUUUAAUACAUUAGCUCAUUUGAUUAGAUGAUUAAAUGGUAAUUAUUUUGUCUUUAAGUCUCAAAUUUGAUUAUUUUCUUACUCACAUUUGUAUUUUUAUUUCAAGUCGUUUCAAGCUUUGCUUUUAUUUUUAAUUAUGGUUUUUAACACAUUAACUCCUUUUGUUAGAUUGUUAAAUAAUAGUGAUUUUUUUUGUGAAAGAAAGGAAACAAUACAAGCUAAAUCCUCAAAGGACGGUCCACAAACAAUCUUAAGCCUAGACUUCUAAUGCAAACAAUCUUGGCUAGGCUAUCUGCAAUUAGAUUACUUCCUUUGGGAACAUGCUGAAUUUUCUACUGCUCUAGCUUUUUAAGCGUCUGAUGAAUUAUCCUAAUGAUGGUAGAAUUGGAGAUGCCCGUAUCAUCUUCCAUGAUAGCUUUAAUAGCUUCAAUACUAUCAGUUUGAAUAAGGACAUUUUGGUAACACCUAUCUGCCAUAAGAUUCAGCCCAUCCAAAAUCCCUCAGAGCUCUGCCUCCAAAACUAAACAAUUACCCAAAUAUCUCUCGAACCCUAUAAUCCACUCUCCCUUGUGAUCUCUCACGCAACCUCCCGCAGCUGCAAAGCCCUCGUCAAUCCUAACCGAACCAUCAGUGUUCAAAUAAACUCAACUGUUGGACAUAGGCCAAUUAGGUAGAGUUCUUUGGGCUUCAAACUUUGAGAUCGAGGAAUACUGCUUAGCAACUAAAGGAGAUUUUAAUAAUUUCCUCAACACUCCACAAAAUCCCUUGGAAAACAAAUAUGUUGCGAUUCUUCCAAAUACGACACGCAAUAAUUCCAAAAAGGUAGGACCAAUCGAUUCCCCCUGUCGAAGAAGUCAAUUGGUUCUGCAAAUUAGUCGCCAUCCAAUCAAAUAAAGAGCCUGAGUAAAAACUAAAAAAAAUUUGUUGAGGAAUGAUUUUAUCUUAGACUCCUUUGGCUGCAUGACAAUCUCUGGGUAUAUGUAUCACAUCCUCCAAAAUAUGACCACAAAUAUUGCAAUUGCGGCUACUCCCACAACCUCAUCUUACUCUUUCAACAUUUGUAAGCAGCUUUUGCUUUAAGACAAGCCAAAUAAAGAAGCGGAUUCAAUGAGGGCCUUUAAAUUUCCAAGGUAUCCUCCAAAAUGCUUCAUUGGGAUUCAAAGUGCCUUCACGAACCUUCCCAUAUGCACUCUUGAGAGAGAGAAGGUGCCGGUCGAGGUGGCUCCCCAAAUAAGUCCUAGCUUCGAUUUCUCUUUUAAGCACAUUUGUAUUUUUUUUUUCACAUUGUUUCAAAUUUUUCUUAAUUCAUCUUUUUAAUUAAUAAUUCUUUUAUUUAUAAAAUCAAAUAAUUAUUUUAAAUUAUAUAAUAAAAAAUAUAUUUUGAUAAAAUGAUAUUUUUCAUUAUGUUAAAUAUAAUUUAUUUUUAAAAAAAAUCAACUUUUUGUUAUAUUUUUCUUUAUGUAAAAUAUUUAGGUUCUCCACGUGGAUAUGGUGAUUACUUAUAUUAUAAAAUCAAAUAAUUAUUUCAAAAUAUCAUUAUUAUUUUUAUACGUAAAAUAUUUUAAAUAUCAUUAUUUUUCAUGUACAUUGUAGGUAUGAUAUUGCAAAUAUUUUUAUACGUGAAAUAUUUCAAUUAAUUAUUUCAAAUUACAUUAUGUUUAUAUGUGAAAUAUUUCAAUUAAUCAUUUCAAAUUACAUUAUGUUUAUAUGUUAAAUAUUUCAAAAAGACGUACAAAAAUAUAUAAUACUAAAAUUUAAUACGUUCAUGAUAUGGAUUGAAAAAUAAAAAUUACACAUAAUAUUUAUAUUUAUUAAAGAUAAUGAUAUUUGGAAAUAAUCAUUUUAUUUUUAAAUAAAAUAAUUAUUAAUUAAAAAGAUAAAAAAACUUGAAAACAAUAUAUUUAUUAAUUAAAAAUUAAAAAAAUUGAAACAACAUGAAAUAAAAAAAAGUACAAAUUUGCUUAGAAUAGGAUCAAACCUAGGACUCAAUGAUAAAAUCACUAUUAUUUAACCAUCUAACCAAAUAAAUUAAUGUGAGUAGGAGAAGAAUCUAACCCGAGACUCAAGGACAAAACCAUUAAUAUUUAACUAUCUGACUAAAGGAAUUGAUAUAUUAAAAGAGUUAGAAAACACGCACGGUAAGAUGCAUUAUUUUAUUUGUCUCUCCAAAUUUAAAACCUUCUAUCAAUCAGCUGCUAUUUUGAUGUUUUCUGUCACUUAUUUAGCAUUAUUCUGCCUUUUACUUAUUCCUAAUUUUGGAUUGUUUUUCAUUAAUUAAUUAAUUAAUUAGAGAUCAUAUUAUGAAUGUAUUUAAUAUUUAUGGAAGUAAUGUUAAAAAGAAAUCUGGAGGUUUUUCUUUUUGCUCUUGAUUAAUUGGAUAAGUUUACAUUUUUACAAAAAAAAUAUAUUAAGACAAAGUCAGAGUGAAAAAAUAAUUAAGCAAGAAAAAUUCAGAAAAAUAAAUUGACUCUUCAAUUAAAAAAAUGUAAAGCUUUAUUUGUUUCAUUAUUGAAAAAAAAUGUCAUUCUCAAUUCAAAUUAUUAUUAUUAUUGCAUGUUUAUUUCAUGUUAUAUUUUAACAAAAUAAAAGAAAAAAAAUUGACCAAUCUGAAUUCAAAAUAUAAAUAAAUAAUUUAUAUACUUUUUUAUAAAGAUUACAGUCCAAAUUUGACAUUUAUAAUAUUUUAAUAUACUCAAAUUAUGACAUGUUUUGUAUUAAAUAAAAUCUAAUUAUCACGUUUCUUCCUUUCUUAAUUUUCAGUCAGUCAAUCACAUUAAAUUCAAUUAUCAUUGAGUGUGUUUUGUAUUAUAUAUAUAAAUUGGUAAUGCUGAUUGAGAAAAGACUUUUAAGAGGCUUUAAUAUCAUUGAGUUAUUAAGGUUAAAGGCUUAACACAUAUGUGUUGUCAUCACUUGCUUGACUUAGUUUGUGUUUACUACAUGUAUUGUGUGUUUGGCUGUUGCAGAGUAUCCUCAGUGGAGGAGAAAAAUCAUCUGCUAUUUUUUAAAAUUCAUAUUACUAUUUUACUAUUUUACAUUUUUAAAGUAGAUCAUUUUUAUUUUUUUUUAGUGUUUAAUGUAUCUCCCACGAUAGUAGAAAAUAAUAUGAAAUAGACGAUAAGAUUGAAGUAAAUUUUUUUCCAAAAUAAUAAGCAUGCAUGAGAAUUAUUCAUCGCCAUGUGCUAAAGACUUGGACUGUUUGUCAAAGUUUUCUUCAAAAAAAUCAUAUAACUCACAAUGAAAGUUUAUAUAUAUAUAAGCAUAGUCAGGCCAACCAAUGUAGAAAAAAACUAACAUGAUAUCAUCUUUUGUUAUUGCCCAGUAUUUAUUUAGCAAAUAUUGACUGUAAUAUUGUCAUGAUUAGACCAUAUUAUUUUUGGACAAGAACAAGGUCAUUUCCACACAGGUAGAAGUGCAGUCCAUGCUCAUAGCCUGCUUACGCAUUUACAGAAAAAAAAAAUAUUAUAUGAUAUUGAUAUCAUAGAUAGAUGAAUCGACUUAAUUUAAGUCGGUUCAACUUAUAAAUACCUCUAAUAUGUUUAUGCAAGGAAAAUAAUAUAGCUUUUUGUAUGAGUCUUUUAAUGAAGGAUGUUGUACCUUAAUUUUAUAUAAUAAAUGUGUAUUUAUACUAUUAUUUAAGUUCUUGAUUGGGUUAGUGUCACUCUCAACCGGGUCACCAAAUUUACAAGGAAAAUUAUUGAAAUGUUCUUUCGUAAUUAAAAUAAGUUGUAUUAUUCGAAGGUAUUUUAGUCUUUUUAUUUUUAAAAAGUAAAUAAAAAUCUGUGUAUGGUGGUAUUUGAAUCCAAACUAAUUGGGUUAGAAAACUAUUUAAUUUAUCACUCAACUAAAACUUUUUAUUUUGAUAUUUUUAUAUAUUUUUAAUUUUAUUAUGCACACGUUAUUUUAAUACCGUACAUAUUUCAUGUGUUAUUAUGCUUAAUUAGUUUCAAAUCAUGUGUUUCAUUAUUUAUUAUUUGUUAUUUUUAAACACAUAUUUGUACUCUAAAUUUGUUAUUUUCAUACAUCUACGUGUGAGAUAGGGUUUCUAAUAUUUAUAAAAUAACAUAAUCCUCGAAAAGGAAACAUGCACUUCUAGGUAAGUUAAGUUUCUACCAAAUGACACAUGUUGAUAAUUGACACUUUAGGUGGUUAUUGAUGGCCUUGUAAAAUCUUUCGAUCUUAACAUUAUACAAACCAAAACCUUAGUAUUGCACAAACAAUGAUUUUAGUAUCUUUAGAAUAAUAUGAUUAUCAUAAGUUUAAAAAUAUCUGAUGCGAAAUUGAAGUUGGUCAUUAGAUUUUAUGAAGAAGAACACCCGAUAAAUUGAUUUCUCCCUCUUAACCUUUUUCCCUUAACUACACAAAUCCUAAGCAAUGAAGGCAAAAAAUUUUAUGUGUUUUGUGUGCAACUCUAAUAAGUAAAGUGGGAUUAGUUUAUAAUGAUAAACUUUUAAUCUGAUCAAGUAACCCAAUGAAAUGAUAAAAUUUAAUUUCUAUUAAAGUAAAACUUUUAGGCCCCAUGAUUUUAGAGUUAUUGGGUCCACAUAAUUGGGAUAAAAAUCUUACAUUCUCUCACUUGGCCUAAUGAGAUAAAACAUAAACUUUAAUAGAACAAUUGUUGAGUGCGCAUAAAAAUAAUAUAAACUUUGUCAUUAAAAUUUGAUUAGGUUGACCUCAUAUAAUGUGGCAGAUGAUUAAUAAAAAAUAAACAUGUUAAAUUGACAAAUUUUGAUAGAAACUGCCAACGAUAAUGUAGCGACGUAAAAAUUUUAGCUUAGCUUGGUCGCUAAUUGUGGCGAUUUAUUGAAAUUUUUUUGAAAUUUGAUGUUUGAUUUUUGAAAUAAAUAAGGAGUCGCCACCGAUCCUUUUUCCUAGGUGUGAUCGGACACCUAUUAGAUCUUUUAUUAAAACAAAUAAAAGGCUGAGUUUAGGUCUACGUUAAAAUCCAGAGAAAAUUUAGGGUUCGGGAGUCGAUUACGCACGAGGAAGGUAUUGGCACCCUCGCGACGCCCAAAAUUGGUAUCUUAUUAAACACAUGUUGUCUUGAUUUUCAAAAAUACGAAUUCAAUUUGACAUUUAAGUGUGAUCCGAUUGAAGGAAAUGAGAAGUUUCAAGUUUUUUUGUUUUUUAGAAGGACGUCCCGUUUUUAACACGAGCUGAUUAAUUUCACCCAACAUAGCGAUGAAAUCGAUGACUUAAUGUUAAAAUUGGUACAUUGCCUUAUUCUUAAAAUUAAAAUGUAAAAAGUUUUUAAAAUGAUAAUAAAAAAAAUCCAAGAAUAUUAUUGUCAAAAAAUGCGAACAAUGAUGGGAAUAAUAAAAUAUAUAAAAUAUAAAAUAUUAAAAUAUCAAAAUAUUAGAAUAAUAAUAAUUAAUAUUGACAAAUAAAAAAUAAAAUAGAAAUAAAAAAGAUGUACAUAAUAUAUAUUAGAAAUAAUAAUGAUGUUAAAAAAAAUACUAUUAAUAAUACUACAUCAAUAUGUACAUAUAUAAAAAAUAAAUACAUGAUAAUAUUAAAAAUAUGUACAUAAUAUAGUGUUAAAAAUACAUACAUAAUAUAGUUAAGAUAUAUACAUAAGAUAACAUGUAGAAAAAAAAUAUAUAUAAAUAAUAUAAUAUUAAAGAUAUAUAAAUAAAAUAGUAUAAUAUAUAUAUAUACGUAAUAUAAAAUUUAAAAUAUACCUAAUAUAUUAAAAGAAUAUAUAUAAUAUAAUAUUAAGAAAUAUAAUAAUAACAAAAAAAAGAGAGGGAGAGGGUGGGUGAUUUUUGGCCACAAGGCCGGCCAUCGUCCGGUCGCCGGACCGCCGCCGGCGCCACCGUACACGGCAGCCGGACCUCAAAAAAACUUUUUCGAUAAAAAUGGGUAAGCUUCCUCCUUUUAUUUUUUACUUUCGUAUAAAAGAAACAAAAUAAGAUUGAAAGGAAAACAAUAAGUAAACAAAGAACUUAAAAUGAGAAUAGACAAAGAAACCUCUUUUGCUUUGAUUUUUGAUUAAUCUCCAAAAAAACUAGCUUCUCCAAAAACUAGCAUUCACAAUAACUCUUCUCCUUGAUUACUUUAAAAAGAAACCUCUCCAAAAAUCUUUUACAAUAACUUUCUCUCCCAAAAACUCUCCAAAAAAAUCUUCCCCCCCUAAAACUCUCCAAAAAAAUCCCCUCCAUAUACAAAAUAUGAGAAGGCUUAUAUAGCCAUUUACAAAAUAUUUUUUUAUUGUUUAUGUCUUCAUUUGUAGGUACAAGUGGUGGUGGAGAAGGUGUGGCUAGUGGAGUUAGUGGUGGAAAAAGAGUGGCUAGUGGAGUUGGUGGUGGACAAGGUGUGGCUAGUGGAGUUGGUGGUGGAAAAGGAGUGGCUAGUUGAGAAAAGUUUAAGUUGUGGGCUAGGUUUUUUAUUUUGAUUUGGGCUUAGAAUUUGGGCCAUUGGUGUUUUGAUGUAAAUUGGGCUUUGGGUAGUUAAGAUUUUGGGUUUUGGGUUUAAUUUUGGUGGGUUAGGUAAGGCUAAAUUGGGUUUUGAUGUAAAUGGGCUAAAAUUGGCCUACAACAGCUGCCCCUCUUUGCUUAUUAUCGUGUAACGAGAAUAGAGCAAAGAUAUAAAGAAAGGCCAAUUUUGCCCGGUCUUGCUAAGUAUGGACUUCUUUGGUGCUCUUCUCAUCCAGGUAGUCUCUUUCCAGUCCAUCGCAUCUUGUAGCUUUGGUUCAAUCCACUGCAAAUUCGGAGAUAUGCCUUGUAGCUUCAAUCUGUUCCAAUGUAAUUCAGUAUGCUCUUCUAUUACUUCAGUGAGAUAAGGUUUUGGGUCUUCUCUUCUGCCACUUUAGAAAGGCAAGAUCUGAUAUCCUCGAUUAACUCCACUGCAACUUCAGAGAGACAAAAUAUGGUGUCUUCAAUCAGCUCUAAUAUUGAUUCUUUACUCGGCAUGUGAUCCUGAGCUCAACUCAUUUCUCGCAAUAUGAAUUGACUCUGUAAAACUAGACAUUAAAAACAGAAAUUGAAAAUAGCUCAGCACGUGAGCCAAGGCUCAACUCACCUCUCGCAAAAGUAGAUUUUGAAAAUACCUCGACAUGUGAACCCAAGGCUCAACUCACAUCUCGCAAUAUGAGUUGAUUUUUGAAAAACAGAAAUUUAAAAAUACCUCAGCGUGUCCUGAGGCUCAACUCACCUCUCGCAAUAUGAGUUGAUUUUUUUUUUAACAACAGAAAUUGAAAUUACCUCAGCGUGUCCUGAGGCUCAACUCACCUCUAGCAAUAUGAGUUGAUUUUUUUUACGAACAGAAAUCGAAGAACAGAAAUUGAAAAGACCUCAGCAUGUGAGCCGAGGCUCAACUCACCUCUCGCAAUAUGAGUUAAUUUUUGACAAACAGAAAUUGAAAUUACCUCAGCGUGUCCCGAGGCUCAACUCACCUCUCGCAAUAUGAGUCGAUUUUUGAAAAACAGAAAUUGAAAACCAGAAAUUGAAAAUACCUCAGCGUGUGAGCCAAGGCUCAACUCACCUCUUGCAAUAUGAGCUAAUUUUUUAUGAACAUAAAUUAAAACCACCUCAGCGUGUCCUGAGGCUCAACUCACCUCUCGCAAUAUGAGUUGAUUUUUGACAAACAAAAAUUGAAAUUACCUCAGCGUCUUGAGGCUCAACUCACUUCUCGCAAUAUGAGUUGAUUUUUUUUGAAACAUAAAUUAAAAAAACGAAAAUUGAAAAUACCUCAGCGUGUCCUGAGGCUCAACUCACCUCUCGCAAUAUGAGUUGAAAUUAAAACACAAAAAUUGAAAAUACCUCAGCGUGCCCCGAGGCUCAACUCACCUCUUGCAAUAUGAGCUGAUUUUGAAAAAGUAGAAAUUAAAAGGUUCAACCCACCUCUCGCAAUAUGAGUUGAUUCUUGACAAACAGAAAUUGAAAUUACCUCAUCGUGUCCUGAGGCUCAACUCACCUCUCGCAAUAUGAAUUGAAAAAAAUACCACAGUGUGUAAUCUGAAGCUCAACUCACCUCUCGCAAUAUGAGUUAAUUUUUUUUAAAAAACAGAAAUUGAAAAUACCUCAGCAUGUGAACCGAGGCUCAACUCACCUCUCGCAAUAUAAGUUGAUUUUUUUUUUGAAAACAGAAAUUGAAAAUACCUCAACGUGUCUUGAGGCUCAACUCAUUUCUCGCAAUAUAAGUUGAAUUUUGAAAACAGAAAUUGAAAUUACCUCAGCGUGUCCUGAGGCUCAACUCAUUUCUCGCAAUAUGAGUUGAUUUUUUUUUAACAACAGAAAUUGAAAUUACCUCAGCGUGUCCUGAGGCUCAACUCACCUCUAGCAAUAUGAGUUGAUUUUGAAAAACAAAAAUUAAAAGGCUUAACUCACCUUUCGCAAUAUGAGUCAAUUUAAAACAUAAACUAAAAAUACCUCGGCGUGCCCCGAGACUCAACUCACUUCUCGCAAUAUGAGUUGAUUUUGAAAAAAAAUUAAAAAUACCUCAACGUGUCUUGAGGCUCAACUCAUCUCUCGCAAUAUGAGUUGAUUUUCCUUGGAAAGCAUGAAUAUUAAACAUCAAAAUACCAAAACCAGUCCUUUGGUAGAACUCGGGUAUCUUUUCCUUUGAUUCAGUGCGACUCUCAUUCAAGAUUUCUUGCUUUACUGGAUUACCUGUAUAUGCCAUGCAUGAUGUCAUCAUGAUAUGCACAUGUUUGUCUUAAAUGCCUUUAUGCCUACAUGAUUAUGCAGUGCUCCUUAAGCAUAUUGGUCGUAUGUCAUUUUCGCCAUGAUUGUUGAGGAUCUGCGUUCAUUGCUUUGAUUCUCGACCUUCUCUUCAGGCCUCAUACCUGUCUUCGAGCUUUACGAGUAAUCGAUGUUUCUCAGAUAUCACCCUUUUGCCCUUGGUUAAACUUUGUUCUUGCUUUGAAGAUCUUGCACUUAUCGAAUUCUUAUCCGGGUAAUGCUUGACAUUUCUUUUGUUUAGAGUAUGUCAUUUCACUAUUUAUCAUUAAAUAAACACAUAAUGAGAUGCAUGAAAAUGGUCAGGUAGGGAUAAAAAGGAUAUCUCAUAUUCCUUUAUUUCAAAUGUGGCAAACAAAGAAAGUUAACCAAUGAGAGUAAAAAUGUCAGAAAGAAAGAAAAGGUCGUAUUCGACAGAUACAAAUGCUCUAGAUAUUCAACACAUGAACUCUUCCACGUUCCUCAAUCAAUAAUCUUUUCGAGCAUGGCUUCUUGCGUAGAAAAUUUCGAGCUUUCAGAAGUGCUUCAAAUACUGUAGUCUCACUACUUGACCUAUCGUUCGACCACCAGGUUUGUUUCAUUAGGACGCCCUCUCGGGUUUUCAUCCUAAUCUUUUUGUACUAAUCAAGACGCCCUUUUCGGGUUUUCGCCCUGAUCUUUUUUUUUUAAGAUGCCCUUUUCGGGUUUUCAUCUUAAGCAUAAUAUUUCUUCACCGCAUCUGAAUUCACCGGAUUCGGUAACUCCUUCCCAUCCAUCUCGGUAAGGAUUAAAGCUCCUCCUGAGAAUGCCUUUUUUACAACGUAUGGCCCUUCCCAAUUUGGUUCCCAUUUUCCUCGCAGGUCUUUUUGUAUUGGGAGAAUCUUUCUCAGAACGAGUUCUCCUUCAUGGAACUCUCUUGGUCGUACCUUCUUGUCAUGGGCUGCGAUCAUUCUCUUUUGGUACAUUUGCCCAUGACAAAUUGCCCUUAGACGUUUUUCUUCAAUGAGGUUCAACUGAUCAUAUCGAGCUCGAACCCAUUUUGCUUCUUCUAACUUUGAUUCCAUCAAUACUCGCAGAGAGGGGAUUUCAACCUCGAUAGGUAGCACAGCUUCCAUUCCAUAGACUAGAGAGAAAGGAGUUGCUCCCGUAGAUGUUCGCACAGAUUGCGAUAUGCAAACAAAGCAAAUGGAAGUUUCUCGUGCCAAUCUUUAUAUGUAUCAGUCAUUUUCCCAAUGAUCCUCUUAAUGUUCUUGUUAGCUGCUUCAACAGCCCCGUUCAUCUUUGGGCGAUAGGGCGAGGAAUUAUGAUACUUUAUUUGGAACUGCUCGCACACUUCUUUCAUCAUCUUAUUGUUCAGAUUCGUGGCAUUAUCUGAGAUGAUUCUUUCAGGCAAACCAUAUCGGCAAAUGAUUUCCUUUUUCAAAAACUUACACACGGCAGUCUUCGUCACAUUGGCAAACGAAGCGGCUUCAAUCCAUUUUGUGAAGUAAUCGAUAACCACAAAAAUGAAUCGAUGUCCAUUUGAAGCUUUUGGAGAAAUUGGCCCUAUGACAUCCAUGCCCCACAUAGAAAAAGGCCACGGAGAAGUCAUGACAUGAAGGGGUGAAGGGGCUACAUGAAUUUUAUCGCCGUAGAUUUGACAUUUGUGGCAUUUUCUGGCAAAAUUGAUGCAGUCACUUUCCAUUGUCAGCCAAUAAUAACCGAGUCUCAUGAUCUUUCUGGCCAUAUUGAAACCAUUGGCAUGCGUUCCGCAAAUUCCCUCAUGGACCUCUUCAAGUAUUUUUCUGGCUUCAACAUCAUCCACACAUCUCAAAAGCAUCUGAUCAUUUCCUCUUUUAUAUAGGAUAUCCCCAUCAAGAACAAAUCCCGCUGCCAUUCUUCUAAUUGUUCUUUUAUCGUUCUCAUUCGCUUGUUCGGGAUACCUUUGAUUCUUGGUAUAUUCUAAGAUAUCAUGGAACCAAGGCCGUCCGUCUACUUCUUUUUCAAUGCUACAAUAGUGUGCAGGGACCUCGUAUAUGCUCAUUUUGAGGGGCAUUAUUUCUGCUUCUCUACUUGCUUUGAACAUUGAAGCCAAAGUGGCUAGGGCAUCAGCUAGUUGGUUCUCUUCUCGUGGGAAGUAAUGAAAAGUUAUUUCUUUGAAUUCCUUGAUCAAUCCAGCCACUAAAUCGCUGUACUUAAUCAAUUUUGAGUCCCUCACUUCCCAUUCUCCACGGAUUUGGUAAAUCACUAGGGCUGAGUCCCCGUACACCUCCAAGAUCUCAAUGUUUCGUUCGAUAGCUGCACGAAGCCCCAUGAUACAGGCCUCAUAUUCUGCGAUAUUAUUGGUACAGAAGAAGUUCAGUCUUGCAGUGAACGGAUAAUGAUUCCCGUCUGGUGAUACCAGGAUUACUCCAAUUACAUGCCCUAAAGCAUUUGACGCACCAUCAAAGCACAUCUUCCAUAACUUGUCUUUUGAUGACUCGGAUUCUAUUUCUGUGAUGCACAUUAAGUCUUCGUUUGGGAAAUCGAAUCUUAAAGGCUCAUAUUCCUCUGUCGUUCGAGUUGCUAAGAAGUCAGCUAUUGCGCUCCCUUUUAUCGACUUCUGACUUACAUAGGCAAUGUCAUAUUCCGAAAGGAGGAUCUGCCAUCGUGCCAUUCUUCCUGAUAGUGCCGGCGAUUCCAUCAUGUAUUUUAUUAGGUCCAGCUUUGAAAUUAGCCAUGUCGUGUGAUACAACAUAUAUUGUCUAAGUCUCCGAACUACCCAAACCAGAGCACAACAAUAUUUCUCAAUGGACGAAUAUUUUGCCUCAUAUUCAAUGAACUUUUUACUGAGGUAGUAGAUCGCCUUUUCUUUCUUUCCUGACUCGUCAUGUUGUCCCAGUACGCCACCCAUUGAACUUUCGAACACUGUCAGAUACAAAAUUAAUGGUCUUCCCGGAGUUGGCGGUACUAGCACUGGAGGACUGGACAAAUAUUGUUUUAUCUUAUCAAAGGUCACUUGGCAUUCCUCAUUCCAUUCUCCCGGGUUAUGUUUUCGAAGAAGCCGAAAGAUUGGGUCGCAUUGGUUGGUAAGUUGAGCGAUAAAUCGGGCGAUGUAAUUUAAUCUCCCUAAAAAUCCUCUAACUUCCUUUUGCGUGUGCGGAGGUGGUAAUUCUUGGAUGGCUUUUAUUUUAUCUGGAUCAACUUCGAUACCUCUUUCACUGACAAUGAAGCCUAGCAACUUUCCUGAGGUAGCCCCGAAUGUACAUUUGGCUGGAUUAAGCUUUAGCUGAAACUUUCUCAGCCUUUCGAACAACUUCUUGAGGUUCAUUACAUGCUCUUCUUCUCCUCGAGAUUUAGCAAUCAUAUCAUCGACGUAGACCUCUAGUUCUUUAUGCAUCAUGUCAUAGAAUAACGUCACCAUAGCCCUCUGAUAUGUUGCCCCAGCAUUCUUUAACCCGAAUGGCAUCACCUUGUAGCAGAACGUUCCCCACAUUGUUAUGAAGGUAGUUUUCUCCAUAUCCUCAGGGGCCAUCUUGAUCUGAUUAUACCCCGAGAAUCCAUCCAUGAAAGAAAACAAUGAAUGUUUUGCUGUGUUGUCCACCAACGUGUCAAUAUGUGGCAAGGGAAAAUUAUCUUUUGGGCUUGCUCGAUUCAGGUCAUGGUAAUCCACGCACAUUCGUACUUUUCCAUCUUUCUUUGGUACCGGGACUAUGUUAGCCACCUAUUCUGGAUAUUUGGAGGGUUGUAGGAAGCCAGCGUCAAAUUGCUUCUUGACUUCUUCUUUUAUUUUCAACAGCAUUUCGGGCCUCAUCCAUCUUAAUUUUUGCUGGAUGGGCUUGCAUUCUGGCUUUAAUGGGAGCUUAUGGACCACUAAAUCUUCAUCUAGCCCUGGCAUGUCCUGGUAUGACCACGCGAAAACAUCUUUGUAUUCGCGGAGUAAAGUGAUCAAACUAUGCUUGGUACUUUCUGAAAUAGAAGUCCCAAUCUUCACUUCUUGUUUCCUCUCUUCAGUGCCCAAAUUUAUUGUUUCCACAGAUUCUUCAUGAGGCAGAACCUGUUUAUCCUCUUGUUCUACCAUUCUUAACAAUUCAGGAGACGAGACAUAAUCUUCAGCAUUUUCUUCGGCUUCAAAUUCUCCUAAGCAAACAGCCUUCUCAAAAUCAAUUUCAAGAUUCGUAACGGGCUUAUUCAUGUCGUCAAUAUCUGAGCACCUGAAAGUUGAAUGGAAAAGGAAGCUAUCGGGGGACAUCCAAGUAUUGGAAACAACAAAUAAAAUGUUAUGUCAUGGCAAUGAGGCAAAUGUAAGGAUAGGCUAUGAAAUGAGAAAAUGAUUAUGAAAUUAGUGAUAAUGCGAAAAAUCGUGACAAAAUGCAUCUUCAUUGAUAUUCACUUAAAUGAUAAAGAGCGAAUGCAAGCUCCUACAAAAUAAUUCUAUUAUAUCUAAGGACACAAUAGAAUGUUAAUGUUUGAGCAUUACUCUGAAGACUUAUAAACUACAAAAAGGUCCUCGGCAGUCCAAUUGUUCAACAUGAAACCAGGGGGACAAAGGCGUAUCCUUGAGACAUCUUUACUUGUGUUAGCUCCUUUGUCAAUGACAUUUAUACUGAUGUUCUGAAAACCCUUUUCGAUCAUUAACAUUGUGCCUUGUGCAUUGUCCUGCCUCGGGUAUAUCAUUCCCGCAGACGUAAAUGUUCUUGAUAAAGGAGGGAAUUCCAUGGGCUCCCAUUCUGGUUCUCGGCCUAAGGUUCUCGCGAUCCUUCUUUCUUGAUCUUUCUUCCACUGUCUUCUUCUUUGACGCAUGUCCGGCUGGAACCCCAAACCGUAUCGGGCCUUAUGAUGCACUGGUUUUAGAGCCUUGACUAUUCCUUGAAGAUAUCUCCCUAAACCUCUUCUCACUCGAGCUCCCCUUCCUACAGUCAACUUGACACCCAUUCUAGUAUUUCUCGACAAUUUAGGCACGGGAAUUUUGUUUCCCUCAGUGAAGAAUGUGGCAUUGAUGAAUUCAAGGGAUCGGAAGGAGCAUUCCACUACAUCCUUGCUCACUUCAAGGUAUGGCGCAUCAGCAGAGAUAGAUGCGACAAUGUCUUCUUCUCCCUCGACAGUGACCAAACAGCCAUCCAUGAUAAAUUUCACCUUUUGAUGGAGGGAUGAUGGGACCGCUCCAGCUGAAUGGAUCCAGGGUCUUCCCAAAAGGCAGUUAUAUGAGGAUGUAAUGUCCAUGACUUGGAACUCGACAUCAUAUAUGUAGGGACCCACUUCUAGAGGAAUUUCAAUUUUUUCCAUGACUUCACGCCUUGUCUUGUCGAAUGCCCUUACCGUAGAAUGACAGGGCCUUAAAUGGGACAGAUCCAUCGAAAUUCUGGAAAGUGUGGCCAAAGGCAUAACGUUGAGUGCCGAACCAUUAUCGAUGAGCACGUUCGGUAUUAUGUAGCCCUUGCAACGGGUUGUGAUAUGCAAUGCUUUCACUGAGCCUCUACCAUUGAGUGGUAUUUCAUCAUCACUAAAAGAAAUGAAAUUAUCCGCAUUCAAGUUGUUCAUCCACCUAUCCAGUUUUUCAACGGAUACAUUGUUUGCUACAUAAGCUUGAUUUAACACUUUCAGUAGAGCGUUUCGGUAUGGUUCUGAAUUCAACAGCAGAGAUAAUACCGAGAUUCGCGCUGGCUGCUUACUCAAUUGUUCUACCACGUUGUACUCACUGUGCUUGAUAAAUUUUAAGAAUUCCUGUGCUUCCUCCUUCUCCACAGGAUUUUUAGCUUCUUGUUCAGGCGCAGUUUCAUGCUCAUCAUCGGUCACAUGCAUCGGUGCUUUUCCUUUCUGUUUCAAGUCACUGUUCUUCUUUAUCUCCUUCGAAUAACAUCUUCCACUACGAGUGAAAUGACCUAAUUCCCCGACGCUUCCAGUCAUGGCUUUGGGUUUUUCAUCUUCAGGUGUGACGAUAUUAACGUCAUAUUUCCAUGGUACUACUUUAUUGUCCUUGUAAGGGAAAGAAGAUGGUACUUCGAUUAUCAUUUUUGGUUUCACCGGCUCUUUCGUCGCAUCGUAAUAAAUUACUAAUGGUUGAUCAGCACUAUAAGGGGGACCUGAUGACUGGCUAUCAGAGGCGCAUACUUCUCUUUCAUUGGUCUCUUCCCUUUUGUUAAGGAUCUUAAUCUCCUUAUUAUCCAUCUGGUCUUGAAGCAACCUUUUAAAUUCCUCACACGACUGAAUGUCGUGUCCCACAAUUCCAUGGAAAUUGCAAAAACUUUGACCUUCUUCUCCGAGAAUCCUAUCGGGGUGACAAAGCAAUCCUUUCUUAACCAGUACCUCCCAGAUUUUCUGCAGAGGCGUCCUUAUUUCCGAAACACAUCUUCUGACUUUCCAUUCGUCCACUUUCCCCACUAUGCUCACAUCCCUUUCGAUAUGGUUAGGGAAUGGGUUCCCAGUUGCAUUACUGGCACUAUCGAAUCGUAGGAUACCUGCAUCAAUGAGUCCUUGAACUCUUCUCUUAAAGGCUAGGCAGUUUUUCGUGGAAUGUCCCUGGUUUCCCGUAUGGUAUGCACAACUAGCGAAUUGUAUGUUUUAACCUCAGCGAACGAGUAUGGAAUAUGCAAUGAAUGAAUGAAUGCAUGAAUGUCAAAUGACUGUUAGUCAUGAAAUAAAUGCAAGAAAUUGGUGUUAAUUUCAAGAUAGCCCCUAUUUAGGCAUUUCCUUAAUCAAAAGAGUCUAUUACACAACGUUUCGGUCACUCGUGUAAUUGACUCCUCUAUCAGAAACCCCUUUUUGGCAACCAAUCUCUAAUCAACCCUUUCCUAACAAGAUGUAUAUGAUGCAUGAUGAAAAAUAAAAAUACAGACAAACAACAUUGGUUAGCAAAACACAUAUGAUCAGAGAAAAAUUGUGGAAAAUCUAACAAAUUAAACUACUUGGUCCAAUGGACUCGAUUCCCUUACAUAGAAAGCGAAAGUGCAAAAGGUAAGAGGCGUUCCUCCCGUGCACUUAUUUUGGUGACUACUAAACGGACGAAGGUUCAGCAUGACUCUAGUUAGGUGGCUCGUAUGGUUCAUUAUAUGCGGUUUUGGUUCUAGAUAGGUACUCGAAUUGCCCGUACUAUCAUCUACUAAGAUUAACACGGAGCCUCGGUCAUAGCCUAUCACAGGCUCACGAGUUCAAUUCGAGGGGUUACAUUUACUUAUGCCUAUGCGGAGGGACAAGUUAACUCACGAAAGCAUAAAUCAUAUGUAACCCGAAAGUAUUCACUAGCCUGUGCGGAGGGACGAGUUAACUCACGAAGGCGUAGCGUUUACUUUCACUUAAACGGACGGAGCCCGGGUAGAGAGCUCAUGUUAUGCGAAAAUGCAAGUGCACGGUGUGUGGGGAACAACUCAUAUACCUUUACGUUUCACUUAAAGAAACUAAACCAAAAUUAAAACCAUAAAAAUUAAAAACUGAAAAACAACCAAAUAAGCAAGUUAGAAGAAAUAUUUACAGCACGAUACAAAUGCAUGAAUUUUGAAAACGAGAUUUUCGGAUCACGACCAAAUAUUUACUUUGAACAAGGAAAUUUGAAAAUUUUGACAAAACGUGUUUAAUUCCAGACACGACUCUCAAAAAGGCUUUCCCUAGUGGAGUCGCCAGCUGUAGCGACGUAAAAAUUUUAGCUUAGCUUGGUCGCUAAUUGUGGCGAUUUAUUGAAAAUUUUUUGAAAUUUGACGUUUGAUUUUUGAAAUAAAUAGGGAGUCGCCACCGAUCCUUUUUCCUAGGUGUGAUCGGACACCUAUUAGAUCUUUUAUUAAAACAAAUAAAAGGCUGAGUUUAGGUCUACGUUAAAAUCCAGAGAAAAUUUAGGGUUCGGGAGUCAGUUACGCACGAGGAAGGUAUUGGCACCCUCGCGACGCCCAAAAUUAGUAUCUUAUUAAACACAUGUUGUCUUGAUUUUCAAAAAUACGAAUUCAAUUUAACAUUUAAGUGUGAUCCGAUUGAAGGAAAUGAGAAGUUGUAAGUUUUUUUGUUUUUUAGAAGGACGUCCCGUUUUUAACACGAGCCGAUUAAUUUCACCCAACAUAGCGAUGAAAUCGAUGACUUAAUGUUAAAAUUGGUACAUUGCCUUAUUCUUAAAAUUAAAAUGUAAAAAGUUUUUAAAAUGAUAGUAAAAAAAAUCCAAGAAUAUUAUUGUCAAAAAAUACGAACAAUGAUGGGAAUAAUAAAAUAUAUAAAAUAUAAAAUAUUAAAAUAUCAAAAUAUUAGAAUAAUAAUAAUUAAUAUUGACAAAUAAAAAAUAAAAUAGAAAUAAAAAAGAUGUACAUAAUAUAUAUUAGAAAUAAUAAUGAUGUUAAAAAAAAUACUAUUAAUAAUACUACAUCAAUAUGUACAUAUAUAAAAAAUAAAUACAUGAUAAUAUUAAAAAUAUGUACAUAAUAUAGUGUUAAAAAUACAUACAUAAUAUAGUUAAGAUAUAUACAUAAGAUAACAUGUAGAAAAAAAAAUAUAUAUAAAUAAUAUAAUAUUAAAGAUAUAUAAAUAAAAUAGUAUAAAAUAUAUAUAUACGUAAUAUAAAAUUUAAAAUAUACCUAAUAUAUUAAAAGAAUAUAUAUAAUAUAAUAUUAAGAAAUAUAAUAAUAACAAAAAAAAGAGAGGGAGAGGGUGGGUGAUUUUCGGCCACAAGGCCGGCCAUCGUCCGGUCGCCGGACCGUCAUCGGCGCCACCGUACACGGCAGUCGGACCUCAAAAAAACUUUUUCGGUAAAAAUGGGUAAGCUUCCUCCUUUUAUUUUUUACUUUCGUAUAAAAGAAACAAAAUAAGAUUGAAAGGAAAACAAUAAGUAAACAAAGAACUUAAAAUGAGAAUAGACAAAGAAACCUCUUUUGCUUUGAUUUUUGAUUAAUCUCCAAAAAAACUAGCUUCUCCAAAAACUAGCAUUCACAAUAACUCUUCUCCUUGAUUACUUUAAAAAGAAACCUCUCCAAAAAUCCUUUACAAUAACUUUCUCUCCCAAAAACUCUCCAAAAAAAUCUUCCCCCCCUAAAACUCUCCAAAAAAAUCCCCUCCAUAUACAAAAUAUGAGAAGGCUUAUAUAGCCAUUUACAAAAUAUUUUUUUAUUGUUUAUGUCUUCAUUUGUAGGUACAAGUGGUGGUAGAGAAGGUGUGGCUAGUGGAGUUAGUGGUGGAAAAAGAGUGGCUAGUGGAGUUGGUGGUGGACAAGGUGUGGCUAGUGGAGUUGGUGGUGGAAAAAAGAGUGGCUAGUGGAGUUGGUGGUGGAAAAGGUGUGGCUAGUGGAGUUGGUGGUGGAAAAUGAGUGGCUAGUUGAGAAAAGUUUAAGUUGUGGGCUAGGUUUUUUAUUUUGAUUUGGGCUUAGAAUUUGGGGCAUUGGGGUUUUGAUGUAAAUUGGGCUUUGGGUAGUUAAGAUUUUGGGUUUUGGGUUUAAUUUUGGUGGGUUAGGUAAGGCUAAAUUGGGUUUUGAUGUAAAUGGGCUAAAAUUGGCCUACAACAGUUAAUAAUAACCAAAUUAGAAUUUUUAAAUUGAAAAGGGAGGACUGAAAUUUUAACUUUUAAAGUACAAGAACCCAAUCUCAAAUUAAUUACAAGUACAAGGACUAAUAACACAUGUUAGCUUCUUCUUCUUUUUUAGGUAACAAAAAUAAUCAAUAUAUGACCAACAUGCGGUAGAAAUUUAUUUUAUUUUAAAUAUUAAAUUGCUUUUAGUUUAAUUAAAAUUUUUAAUUUUUUUAAAUUUAACAAUUGAACCGAGUGAUAAAAUACUUGCAAAUAAAUAUUCUGUGGGCAAAGAUUUAAUCAUUAAAUAUUACAUUUUUAAUUAUUUCAUUUAAGUACUUCGCAUAAAAAUAGUAAAAAGCAAAAGCAUUAAUACUAUAAUUGUGAGACACCUUACAUGCGAUUCAAUUGUCUAAUCCAAAUGCGUGACUUCACAUUAUGUUGUCAGAGUAACUCAAACUAACUUGAUAUCAUUUUACUAAGUAACAUGCAUUCAAACAAAUAAAUCACGUAUAAUUUCAAUUAAAUCAUGUGUACAUGUUUAAUGAAUGUCAAUUAAUCUAGUUUAAAGUAUUUAGGAGUUGUACAGGAUCAAAUAUAGAGUUGGGAUUCGAAUCCAAACUCAUUUAUCCAAAUUUUAUAGGGGGUUUCGAGACAUGACAUUCAUGUCUCGAGACACUAAUAUAAUAUGAUCUAAAAUAAACAUUUAAAUGCAUUCAAUCACAAAUAAAUUCGUACCUAACUUAAACAAACUUUACACAAUUUCAUAUGCAUCAUUUUAACAAACAUAUAUAUAACCAAAUAUCCAAACAAUUUAACAAUCAAGUCACCUCAACCUAAUGUAGUUAAAUAAAUGGCUUAAUACUUAUAACCAUGCAAACUCAUUCAUUACUCAAGCAUUAAAACUCAACAAAAGAAACCUUAUAGGUCCAUAGCUAACCAAAGCAUACCAUAUGGACCAAAACAAUAUUUAUUAUGACCUUAAAUGCUUUACAAUUUUGAUCUAUUAAAAACCUGUCCGAGAUCUGCGCAUAAAAACAAACACAACUAUACGUUGAGUAUUAAAUACUUAAUGGUGCUAACAUAAUCUGAAUUCAAAUAUAAAAUAUUAAACAAUUUAAUAUACUAAAUAAACAUUUUAUUUAAUAGAUUCAAUAUAACAAAAGCACUUCUGACUCCAAAAGCACUUUUAAAAGAAAAGCUGUGAAGAACAAGCUGCUUUUUGGCUGAAAUUUUUAGCUUUUUUCUGAAAAUGAGCUGAAAAUGAGAAGCUAAAAAUUUUAGCUUUUACUCUCCCAAAGGCACUUUUUGUGCUUAAUUACUUUUUCACCCCUCCAAUAACAUAGUAUUUUCCUCUUUUUUUUGGUGCUUAAUUACAAAUGUGUUAAAAUCAUUAAUUAAAAAUAAAAAAUAUUUCUUAAAAUACUAAUUACAAAUAUUUAAUGGUUAUAUUUAAAUAUUUAAAAUAUAGUUUAUAUAUUCUAAUUAAAUUUUAUAAAUAAUUAUUAUUUAUUGCUUAAAAAUAUUUAAAAUUUAUAUUUCAUAUAUUAAAAUAUUAACAAUAAGUUAUAAUAAUUUUUUUAUAUUCUUACUAAAAUAUAAUAAUAUUAACUAAUUUAAAUAUUAUUUAAAUACAUAUUUGUUACUUGAUAAUAACAUGUCUAAAAUGGACAUUUUAUUUCUCAAAAGCACUUUUUGACAGCAAUACUAAACACUCAAAUUUUAAGCCAAACUUUUCAAAAGCACUUCUCAAAAGCACUUUUCCACAGGACUUUUCAAAAGUAAUGAAGAACUGGCCCUAAGAUGGCAUUCUAGUAUUUCAUUACCCAAUUUCAUAUCGAGCAACAAUCAUCCCAUAACUUUAUACCAUUUCAUUUAUUCACCCUCAGGGUAUUUAAGUGACAUUUACCUAUGCAAUCAAUUUUCUCUUCGUGAGGCAGGUUCCAAUGUCACGAUACCCAAAACAAUAUUGAAAUUGAGAGUCUUGAAGGUCUCGGUGUCAUGAUACCCAUAUUUGGUAUCGCUAUAUCACUGGAGUUGACCUUAAGUUUUUUCACUUCAGCAUUGUUAGGGGUAUUACGACUUUCAUGACCUCAAUGUCGUGAUACCCCGUUCUAAAUGAUAAUUUCCUCGAGUUUGGUCCAUUAUCAACUUCCUACACCAACUCAAUCAUAUCACUAGGUCCCCCAUGGCGCCAUUUGGGUCUUAAUAUGGCAUAAAACUAAUAAAAAUCAUUAAUUAAUAACAAAAACUAAAAACCGACAAAAGUAAAGAAAAAUACACUUAUAUUGCUUGAGAUUAAGCUCCUCGAGUGUAAUAGAAAGCUUAAUUUGACAUAUCAAAUUACGUCAGAUCACUUGUUCGGCACAGGUUCAAACCGUGUUACCCCCUUCCUCCACCCCUAAAAUCGUAUAAAAAAACUAAUUGCUAAUCUUCUAAUGUAGUCUCUGUACUAUAGUACUUAAUAGUUUAUAUAAUUUAAUUACUAAAUAAUUUUAUUUCUAAUUUAUCUUUUAUUUUUUUAAUCUCACACUCGCUUUGUAAUUGCUCGAUCAAAAUUUUGAACAACUCGAUUUAAUAAAUUUGAUCCCACAAUUAACUUUUCCGACAUUGAAAAAAAUCGAAUCAAUACAAUAUUAUAAAAAAAAACUUUUAAGUAUAGGUGUAGUUAGGAGUCCAUGUUUUUUUUAUAUUAAUCUAGUUUGAAGAAAAAAUCAAACAAUAAAAAGUAGCAAAUUUUAAAAAUCUCUUUUCCUAUUAAAAAAAAAAAACAAGUUGUUAAAUAAAAUUUAUUAUCUUGAAUGAUGUUUUGGCCAUAUUACAAGAUGUAUAAAUUAUGCAUGGGUUUUUUUAAAUUUAUUUUGAUUUAAAUUUCGUCGCGUGUGGACCAUAUUGAUUUAUAAUAUGUUUGGUUUGUGUUUUGUUAUUUUUUUAAUAAAUUUGGGCUAAACUGGUGAACGAAAUAUAUCUUCAGGUACUAAAUGAAUAAAAAAUUUUAAAUACCAAAAUAAAUAAAUAUAUAUAUAUAUAAUUCAAGAGCUCAAACAUGAAUAAAGGCUAAUAAAUUUUGUGAUAAUUUUCUCUCACCUAUAGGCAAAUAAUUUCAAAAAAGAAACUAUUUGAUAUAUUAUUAAUAAAUUUUAAAAUUUUUAUUUAUGAAUUUAAUAAAAUGUUAUAAUUUUUACGAAAAUGAAAUAUAUUAAAAUAAUGUAACAAAAUUCAUAUUUUUAUUUAUUUGUGAAAAUUAAAAAUCUCAUCAAGUUUAUAUAACAAUGUACUUUUUAUUUUAAAUAAACGAUAGAAUCAUUUUUGUUGCACCGAAGUGCCUAUGUGCUGGGUCGGAUAGCACACAAAAUUUUCCUAAAGCUCUUGCCUAAGCAUUAUUUAGGAUGAUGGGCUUUGAUUGAUCUGUUAGCCCAAAAGGUUCUAUUAAUAUAUAUUUUAUAAUUAAAUUUAAAUAUAUUUUUUAUUUUUAAAUGUGCUUCAGCACACUGAAAUUCACAAUAAUAACAAACGUUAAUCAAAUUAAUCAUUUAAAUACUAACUUUUUAUAAAUAAUGAUUUCGAUUUACAUGUCGAUCUAAGUCAUGCAAAAUGUCUAACGUACCAAUUUAUAUAACCAAAGAAAAGACUUUAAUUUGUAGUGUAAGCUACACCAUUAGUCAAUAAAUUAUUAAUACAUUUUUAUUUUGGUCAUUGAACUACUUAAAAGUUCUCAUUUAAGUCAUUAGACUGUUAAAAUCGAUGUUACAUGGUUUUCUCAGUUCGCAUUGCAGCUCUCUUUCUCAUUUUCUUCUACAGUUGAGUUUUUUUUUUUUAUGAAACAAUUUUGGAUGUUACAAAUCUAAAAAACCAAAAUUUAAACAACUUUUCUCUCCGAUCUCUUACAUUGAUCAUCACAUUGAUCUGGAUCUAAAGUAUGUUCUUUUACUCGUCAAUGGAUAUUGAUCCACAGUACUGAUCGUCGAAUUGUUGCUUGAAACUCGCCGGUGGAACUUAAAAAAAAAAACUUAAUAACCUAGUGACUUAAAUAAAAACUUUUGAAUAGUUCAGUGACUUAAAUGAAAAUUUUAAAAUAGUUCAAUGGCCAAAUUAUAAUUUUUUUAGUUAAGUAACCAAAACAAAAAUUUACCCAUAAUUGUAUAAUUUUCACUAAUUUGUAUCACUAAAUUACUUUAAGGGAUCGUGAGGAGUGACAAUACUUGUUACAGAUAGGCAAAGUUUUCAUCAAAAUUUGAAAAAAAACCUAGUGCAAUAGUUAUAUAAACUUUAGGGUAAAUCCCAUCAAUUGUCCCUAAUCUUUAAUUAAAAUUAUAUUUUAGUCACGUAACUUUCAAAAGUUACAUAAUUGUCACUAAAGUUAUCGAAAUGUUACAUUUUAACCACUCUUCAUUUAACUUUCGUUAAGAAGAUGAUGUGGCACAUUAAUUUAACGGGUUAGUCCCUGAACAAUAAUUAAAAUAUCAAAUUGAUACUUUUAAAAUUUUUCUUUAUAAUAAUUCUAAAAAAUUUAAAGGGUAAACUACUCCAAUAGCCACUUAAGUUUUAAUGCGUUCCUAUUUUGGUUACCAGAUUUUUUUGUUAAUUUAGUCAUUUCCAUUAGAUUAAUUGUCAUUUUUAGUCACUCCAUCGUUAAAAUACAUUAGUCAUUGAACGGAAUGUUGAUGUGGCAAUCUUUUGAUUGGUAUAAUAACAAAUUUAGCCCUUAACACUUUACAUAUUCUGUUUACUUGGUCCUAUGUUGAAAAAAUAAACAAAUUUAACUCAAUGUUUACACAUUUUGUCAAUUUAGUCCAAAUUCAAAAAUUUUAUAAUUUUAAAAACUUGAAAAAAAUAUAUGACAUAAAACUAAAAAAAUAUUUAAAAAAUAUAUAAAAUUACUUGGUUGGGCAUUGAUUGUAGAUGAAACAAUUUAUACUUUUCUUUGGCUGAUGCAAACUUGGUUUAUAGCAAUCGGGGAAUAGGCUCCGCAAGUGAUGCUCACUGAUCAAAACAAUGCCAUAAAAGUAGUUGUAGUUGCUGUGUUUCCUGCUGCACGACGUUGUUUCUGUGUUAUGGCAUGUCUUGGGUGACUAUCUAAGUAAUUUACCCUUUAAAUUUUUUAGAAAAAGAUUAAAAGUAUCAAUUUGAUAUUAUAGUUAUAGUUUAGGGGCUAAAUUAGUUAUUAACCCUUUAAAUUAACAUGUCGCAUCGCAAUGUAACAUUUCAAUAACUUCAAAGUUGGGUGAUUAAAAUAUAAUUUUAAUCAAAUGUUAAUGAUAAUUGGUGCAGUUUAUCUUAUGUAUAAACACCGUAUUAAUAGAGUUUAAUAAAUAUUAUUUUCGUAUAUGUAGAUUAGAUCACGCAAUAGUUGAAUAGGUCACAUAUAAUCGGAAAUAAUGAAAAUUGUUGAUGAGGAAGUUAUAUUUGUAUAAAAGAAGAUUGAAAUGAUUCAAUCAUUUUUGUGAAAUAAUAUUUAUAAAAUAAAAUUUGAACAUUCAUAAUAUUUUCUCAAAAUUACGAACUUCGUCGCAUAAAAAGAAAACCGGUUUCUUGUUUAAUUAAAAAGUAGGACUAUAAAUUGUCAACAUGCUUCCAUUUGUUGACCAAUAUUAUCCGGAAGUAGCUUUCAAAUGCUUAAAAAGUAACAGUGUAUUUUACAAUAUUAUCAGGCUACAUGGCCUCACUUUGUAUUCAAUAUAUAUUAUAAAAGAAAGCAAAGAACAAAAAUACAAAAUAAAUAAAGAAACUUACAUAGUGCUUUAACUUAUUACAAAGGGAUUUGUCUCCUUAGUAUGUUUCUACCAUGGGAGAUCGCCACUUUUAUCCCAAAUAUCAGGUUAUCAUUACGUUGCCUUGGAGACAUCCUUACUUGACCUAUUGUACUUCAUAUGGCUCCUAACUAGUUGUCCUGCUGAAAUUGCAGACAUAAGCGACAGCUCCCCGGCAAGAACAGCAGACGCUACAAUGGUUGCCAGCGUCCUAGAGUUUGCUCCCGGUGUCUCUUUGCUUGCACCCUUCACUCCAAGUAAGUUCAAACAGGCUGAUUGAGAUGCAAGCUGAGUUCCACCACCAACAGUCCCAACCUAAAAGAUACAGCAACACAGAUAAUUAGGGACUAACAUAAAUAUCCAGAUUUUGUUUUGGCAACGUAAGUCCCUGUGUUGGAUAAUCAGACAGCAACACUAUCAAUUACCUCGAUGGAAGGCAUUGUGACAGAGAUGUGGAGAUCCUUGCCAUCAUUAACAGCUUCCAUCAUCGUGAUGCAAUGCGAGCUCUCGACGUUUUGAGCCGGAUCUUGGCCGGUAGCUAUGUAGAUUGCAGCAACGAUGUUACUGGCGUGAGCGUUAAAUCCACCCAGAGCUCCAGCCAUAGCUGAUCCAGUAAGGUUCUUCAGCAUGUUAAGCUCAACGAGAGAUUCCACACUUGUCUUCAAGACCUUCCUAACCACAUCACCCUUAAUGGUGGCUUCACAGACAACAGAUUUGCCUCGUCCUUCAAUCCAAUUUACCGCAGCCGGUUUUUUGUCGGAACAAUAGUUUCCUAUAUGCACAAAUUCAUAAAUAUCAGUGAUCCUAUGUCGGACAGUAAAAAGACAUAAUUGCAAGCCUAUACAAAAAAAUGAAACUCACCAGAGAUGCCAAUGACAUCCAUGUCAGGGAAAUCAGUUUGAAGGAAAUCCAAAACGUUUUGCACUCCCUUGGAAACCAUGUUCAUCCCCAUAGCAUCACCUGUACUGCAAGUGAAUCUAAUAUACAGAUUCUUUCCAGCAAUUGCACAUUUGAUACCCUGGAGCCUGCCAAAUCUACUUGAUCUGCAACCACCAAAAAGCCAAAUUUUCAAUAUUAGCUUGAAUUUCAAAAUCAAUCAAUAUGGAGUUCUAGAAAUACACAAACAAACCUGUUGAAAACAACAGACAAGGUCUCGAAAUUAUCAGGGUCCUCCAAAUACAACUUCAAAUCAGCUGCCCUUUUCGCAGUACCGAACCUUACACAUGGAGCUCUUGUCAUACCAUCUUUCAAUAGAACACUUGUAGCUCCACCAGACAAAUGAAUAGCCUUACAGCCCCUAUUAGUGCUAGCCACCAAGCACCCUUCCGUGGUUGCCAUAGGAACCGAGUACUCUCUUCCAUUAACCAACAAAGGCCCGGCAAUUCCAACGGGAAUUUGCACGUAGCCAACCGGCAUCUCACAACACUGCCCUAAAAUCGACUCGUAAUCAAACCCAUCCAAGGGCAAUCCAGAUAACGACUUCCCUGUUAAUCUUUGCAACGCUUCCCGCCUGAUUGCAGCCGCCCUCUUGCAAUCACCCAAUUUCGAUUCCAAGGAAUACGAAGGGGUUGUACCAGCCACUACAGAUUUAAUUAUUUCUUCAUCUUCCUCCGUUAGUACCGUCACAGGCUUUUCAUCGAACACCUUCUGAACGGUCACGAUUGGUGCCGCAGGAGGCAGAGGUGGAAGCGAACAAUCGAGAGCUUGCCCGCAAGGGACCUUACGGGCUUCUUCCUUUGCAAGCAGAACUUCAUCAUCCUCUUCCUCGGCAAUCCAAACGUCAGGCGAUGGUUGGAAAACCAAAGAUUGAACGAAGUCAAUUCCAAAGAAACCCAAAAGGUAAAUAAAGGACGCGAAAAAUGAGAGAAUGGCGAUGAUCUCGGAAAAGGUGACGACAUGGAGAGGUGUGGAGGUACGGAUCUUCUCGCGCCAACGGGAAAGAAGAAAAUAAACCACCGAGAAGAAGAGGGUGAAGAACAGGGCGUUCGUUAGGUACAAGGGAAGCGGCAGUGCGUCGGAGGCUUUACCGGUAUCUUCCUCUAAAGGAAUCUUUUUCGUUGGCUUGAGAGAUUGAACAGGUUUAGUAGAAGAUAUCCGGUGAGCCUCCAUUUUGGGUGUCGACGGUGGCGGAAGCCCGAGAGGAACGGAAAUGAGAGACAGCCGACGAUUUCAAUUAGU
rnacentral:lncRNA from 1 species